rnacentral:rRNA from 1 species
UACAUAGGGGGCAAGCGUUGUCCGGAAUUACUGGGCGUAAAGGGCGUGUAGGCGGCAAGCUAAGUCAGAUGUGAAAGUCCACGGCUUAACCGUGGAAUUGCAUUUGAAACUGUCUUGCUUGAGUGCAGGAGAGGAGAGCGGAAUUCCUAGUGUAGCGGUGAAAUGCGUAGAUAUUAGGAAGAACACCAGUGGCGAAGGCGGCUCUCUGGACUGUAACUGACGCUGAGACGCGAAAGCGUGGGUAGCAAACAGGAUUAGA